CGUCCCUGGGCUUAACUGGGGUGGGGGUGGGAGGCCUCAGGCCCCAGAGGGGUCCCACGAAUCAGCAGGGAGGGUGUGCAAUGCUCUGCAUAGCAAAGCUGGGCCACACCAGGGGCUCCAGCUAAGGGGCUUUUUGGGGACCCCCCUGGGGACUCCCUCGCCCAAGGGCAGAGACCCCAGAACCUGCAGGGUCUCCUGAGUUCAGCACAAUGCAGGGCACCAAGUACCAGGUCCCCCUCUCCCCUGAUAUGUUGUAGUGACGAUGUCCCUGUCCCCUGGGGUUGUGGGAACCUCAGCUCAGAGCCCCUUUGAGCAGCCUUGAGCCUUGAGUUCCCACAUUCCUGAGAACUGCCCCUCUGGGCAGCUGUGGAGGUGGGGGCCCCGUGUGCGUGGGGUGACUCUGCAGGGUGCCCCUCCUCUUGCCUCUGUGUCAGCCCUUCCCCCUCCACGGGGCUGGGUGGAGGGUGGAGGGGAUGCCCUCUGUAGCUGGGGCAACCCCCUAGGCUGCACUGCCUUCCUGCCCUUCUGGAAUCAUGACAGUCUCCCCCAUCACGUUAGUGCGAAUGGGGCUCUGAGGCCUGAGAGGGGAAGGGCCUCCCGGACCCCCAUGUCUUGCCUCAAGUCGCAUCCCAGCAGUGAAAACGCAUCCCAGCAGUGAAAACAGGGGCCGGGCUGGAUCAGUGGGUUCCAGGGGGUGGAUGAUAGGCCUGUCAGUGGUGGAAACUUCUGUUCAGGUGAAAGCUCAUGCAGAUGCAAACCCCUGGGAGCUGAGCUUUCGGCUGCCCUCCCUGGCCCACCUCCCUGGAGCGGACUUGUGGCGGGGUCCCCUCUGUUCCUUGGUGUAUCCAUCUCUCUGGGCUUUGGGCUCCUAUUGUAAAAUAGGACUGGAGGGGCAGAGGGUGUGCAAGGUGACCCUGUGCCAUGCCUGACACAUGUCAGAACCAGCAGGCAGCUGCCAGACGUCAGGGGAUGGCGCCCCUGCGGGCCGUGGCGAUGCGCCAGGGCUGGGCCCAGUCCUGGCGAGGGCAGCGUGGGGUCUUCCUUGCAGGGACCGGGAAGCAUUCAGGAGCCUUUGGCUCUGAGGAUCCGAAACCCCAUCUGGUGGAGGCAAGGAGAGAAAGAGGAAUUGAAUGGCUGAGGUCACCAGGAGGCGGCCAGCGUCAGGACAGCCCCUUCAGGUCUCCUGUCGCAGCUCUGCGCAGUCAGCGUGUCUUCCCCAAGGCUGGCGCCAUGUCUACCCACAGCUGCCGCUCCCUGCUCCUGGCCUGGGGGCCCUCAGAGGAGGGGCGAUGGUGAUGAUAAGACGCCCCACCUGGGAAGGAUCCUGGGGACCGACUCUCGCGGACAGUCUGGGCCCCACACCCCAGCUUGGCCAGUGUCUGUGGUGGGAGGGCUAGGAGAGAGGUGCUGUGAACAGAAGACCUUCUCCACAAUGCCUCGGUUCAACAAACGGGGCGGUUCCCCGAAAGGGGCCAGGCGGGAGCGGGUUAGCAGGACGUCCACAGGUGCUGUUGGCCUUCCCUGCAGGUAGAGCUGGGCCUCCCUGGGACGUGGCCCUUCCCUGCAGGUAGAGCUGGGCCUCCCUGGGACGAGGCCCUUCCCUGCAGGUAGAGGUGGGCCUCGCUGGAAAGGCGCGGUUCCCGUGGCUCCCAGCCCCCAGGUGGGAGAGGUAUAUCCAACUGGACACUAGGACUGAGGAGGCCUCUGAAGGGCUGCUGAGGGCGUGCUGGCCAGCUUGGCCUUGGCCAUGGGGGUGGUCAGCUGUCUGGGAACGGCUCCUUGGGGCUGGGAAUGGAGAGGUCACCUUUUGUAUGAAGUUGGGUGGGGGCCGGGAAGUUGGACCCCAGCAGGGCUUUGAAGCCUGCAGGCAAGUCCCCCCUUCCCACGUCAGGGACGCAUAACCCAUGCCCCAGCACACUGGGCUUCCUUGUGUCCUGGGUACAACAGAGCAUUCCCUUUUACAGAUACAGAAUCUGAG
ensembl:lncRNA